rnacentral:rRNA from 1 species
CCUACGGGUGGCAGCAGUGGGGAAUAUUGGACAAUGGGGGGAACCCUGAUCCAGCGACGCCGCGUGAGUGAAGAAGUCUUUCGGUAUGUAAAGCUCUAUCAGCAGGGAAGAAAGAAAUGACGGUACCUGACUAAGACGCACCGGCUAACUACGUGCCAGCAGCCGCGGUAAUACGUGGGGGGCAAGCGUUAUCCGGAUUUACUGGGUGGAAAGGGAGCGUAGACGGUUACGCAAGUCUGGAGGGAAAGGCGGGGGCCCAACCCCCGGACUGCUUUGGAAACUGUAUAACUGGAGUGCAGGAGAGGUAAGUGGAAUUCCGAGUGUAGCGGUGAAAUGCGGAGAUAUUAGGAGGAACACCAGUGGCGAAGGCGGCUUACUGGACUGUAACUGACGUUGAGGCUCGAAAGCGUGGGGAGCAAACAGGAUUAGAUACCCUGGUAGUC